rnacentral:rRNA from 1 species
UACGUAUGGAGCAAGCGUUAUCCGGAUUUACUGGGCGUAAAGGGAGCGUAGGCGGCCUGCCAAGUCUGAUGUGAAAUACCGGGGCUCAACCCCGGGGCUGCAUUGGAAACUGGCAGGCUGGAGUGCCGGAGAGGCAGGCGGAAUUCCUAGUGUAGCGGUGAAAUGCGUAGAUAUUAGGAAGAACACCAGUGGCGAAGGCGGAUGACUGGACGACAACUGACGGUGAGGCGCGAAAGCGUGGGGAGCAAACAGG